rnacentral:rRNA from 1 species
UACGAAGGGUGCAAGCGUUAAUCGGAAUUACUGGGCGUAAAGGGUGCGUAGGCGGUUGUUUAAGUCUGUCGUGAAAUCCCCGGGCUCAACCUGGGAAUUGCGAUGGAGACUGCAAGGCUUGAAUCUGGCAGAGGGGGGUAGAAUUCCACGUGUAGCAGUGAAAUGCGUAGAGAUGUGGAGGAACACCGAUGGCGAAGGCAGCCCCCUGGGUCAAGAUUGACGCUCAUGCACGCAAGCGUGGGGAGCAAACAGG